UAGGGAAUAUUGGGCAAUGGGCGAAAGCCUGACCCAGCCAUGCCGCGUGCAGGAAGACGGCCUUCUGGGUUGUAAACUGCUUUUGAUCGGGAACAAAGAGCCCUCGCGAGGGAAGUUGAGUGUACCGAUAGAAUAAGCACCGGCUCACUCCGAGCCAGCAGCCGCGGUAAUACGGAGGGUGCAAGCGUUGUCCGGAUUUAUUGGGUUUAAAGGGUGCGUAGGCGGCUUUUUAAGUCAGUGGUGAAAUCCUGCAGCUUAACUGUAGAACAGCCAUUGAUACUGAAGAGCUUGAGUACAGACGAGGUAGGCGGAAUUUAUGGUGUAGCGGUGAAAUGCAUAGAUACCAUAAAGAACCCCUAUUGCGAAGGCAGCUUACUAGGCUGUAACUGACGCUGAGGCACGAAAGCGUGGGGAUCAAA
rnacentral:rRNA from 1 species